rnacentral:misc_RNA from 1 species
UGUCCCCUUCUCUUCCUCCUCGUCUUUCUUAUUUCUCUCUGAACUGGGACUGGGCGUUUUUUUCCUCUUUGGUCGUCUUGUCGGACUUCUCUGCCUUUUGCUGCGCGUCUCCUUUUCCGUGUCUUGUUCUCAUUUCACCCCUUGCCUCUUCAGAGCUCCAUUUUUCCCCGUGUCUCCUUCCGUCUCUUGAUGAUUCCACACUGCUAGACACCAUAAUUCCUACAGGAUUCCUCGUUGCACCAUACAAGCUACCAAGAGGUAAUUAGCAGCGCCCCGCCGCUCCGUGCUGCCUUCUCUUCAACGGCUUGUUGAUUUGCUUUUGCGUUUUCGCCUUCUUCCUCCGGGCUGUGACUGCUGUCUUGGUUUCCUUUCGAGUUUGUGUUUGUCCGGAUCUUGAAUCUGCGUUCCCUCUCCAUUGAUAUAACACCUUUUUCUAAUCUGGUUGUGGCUUCUUUUUUUUUCAUUCGCCUUGUCUGAAAGAGACACGUCGACAGGCAGUCGUGCAACUCCUCCUUACUCAUCUGUAGCAGCUCUCCACAUCUGUAAGAAUAACACCUUUCCCUUUUGCUCGACAAAAAAGUCUGAGCAGCAUCCAGCACGACAGGAAAAGGAAAACGAGCAAAUAGAGAGAACAAUAGAAAAAAAGCGGUUUCUAUCUUAAGAGUAAAGAGUAGAUUAUAGAAGACCAUACGAAAAUGAGUGCGUCUGUCAGCGAGAGACGCAACACUAGAGCGACAGCUUCCACUGCUCCCAAGCUGAACGCGCGAUAUUCGACGGUGCCCUCUGGAAAAAUGACUCCCCUUGCCUACGGGAAAAAGGAAGCGGAAAGGGAUGUGCAGCUGGCAACGUCGCCGUACUCUGCGACGAGCGGGAGGGGUGCAUCCAACGGGCCGUCCUUGAGCAGUGCCCGUCGCAGUCUUGUGUACGCCGGCACCGCAUCUUCAUCCUCACCGACAACGCAGCACGAGUCCAAGGUGGGCCGUUCGUCAAGUUUGACAGGCGGUGCCGUCUGGAGCUCAUCUCUGCGCAUCACCUCUGCGCGCGAGCGUGCAGCCACCGCACCUUUAAAACGAAUCAAGUCUGCUACGUGCACGGAGAAGCGGUGCAAAUACGUGGUGGGAACAAUGCGGCACUGCGGCUCUAUCUAUGAGGAGAUGGCGAAGCAGCUUCUGGCGACCGGCCGUUGGUCGCACCUAUCCGUCCGCCAGUGCUCUGUCACGAAAGCCCUCGUCGUCUCUGAAACGCAAAAAGAUUUGUCUGACACGAACAUGCACCUGCUCCUUGGAGAGAAGAUGCCGUGCGAGCGGGUAAUUGCAACCCGACGCUUCAUGUCGAAGCGGUACCGGAGCUGCCUCGGCGAGGGCACCAACGCGAGGCGCACCGCCUACGGUUCGCGCUCCUACACGUCCCCGGGACUCCGGAUGCCGAUGGGCAGUGGCGAUGACGGCGAGGUGCGCGUGGUGGACUUUGUGGAGAACACGCGAAGCAUUACAUUGAAGAGUUCAAUGGUGACGGCGCUGCUAAAGCACCACAACUACAACUGGAAUACGCUUGGCAACUAUCUUCCUAUGUCCUUUAAGCUGACACCGUGCCAGUCAAGCCGUGACGAGCGGCAGCAGUUGCUAGCAACAGUAAAGGGCGGUAUGCGGCUACCUCACGAGGGGGACGAGCCGUGCUUGUGGAUCGCGAAGAGCUCCGCCGGCUGCCACGGCGACAACAUCGAGAUUUUUCGCGGUGACUACCGGGGAAUUCUGAAGCUGCUGCGCUUUAUCGACAGCCAACACGGCAGUCAACCUUGGAUAGCGCAGCAGUACGUAGAUCGCCCUCUCCUUUACCACAAGCGCAAGUUCGACAUCCGGUGCUGGGCUUUGCUCCUUCGCGAUAUGUACGAGAUCUACGUGCACGAGGAGUUGGUGAUGCGCACCAGCAGCGUGCCAUACAAUCGCGAAAGCGCCACGUCCAAGACUCCCACGGGUCGGCUGGCGCACAUCACAAAUCAUUGCGUGCAGGAAACGAGCAAGAUGUACUCGUUGUACGAGGAGAGCAACGAGCUGUGGCGGGAGCACUUGGAUGGACUCAUUCGCUACAAGGGAACGGUGAGAGCUGCAAAGCUGAAGCAGGAAAAGUACACCCCUCUCUGCAGUCCGCGGCCACAGGAGCCGAACCGCGGCGACGUUCCUUACCCGACAAGGUACUCGAACGAUUCGCGGGAGUCCCUGUACCCGAUUCGCGAGGCGAACCGCAGCGACAGUACAACUGCCCCACGCCUCGUCAGCGUCCAUGAUGAGCCAACCACGAUCACGCUCGACAAUCACAUCAUGCCGCAGAUCCACUUUAUCAUUCGCGACUCGCUGCUGGCCGCACGGUCGCACGUGCCAGAUGAGCCGGCCAUCCCCCCUACCCAUACCUUUCAAGUCUUCGGAUACGAUUUUCUCAUCGACGAGAACCUCAAAGUGUGGCUCCUGGAGAUCAACGGCGCGCCGGGCGGCCCUGACCGCCUGAAGCCUGCGUUGGUGAAGGAUACAAUUGAGCUGGCUGUGGCCCCGUACUUUCCGGGUACGAUGAACCUGAAAGCAAAGCGGCACAACGGCUAUGUGCGCGUGUAUCCUUGAGGCGCGAAUGGCAUCUGUCUCACUUCAUUCCCCCUUGAGCGUGCGUGUAUGCGUGUCUCUGUGCGUGUGCAGGGUUUGCUCUGCGGCUUUCAUAGAUGCACUGAUAUGCUUCAGCUCUUCUCCCCACAAACGCGAAG